UGGAUCCAGACUUUGAUCAUGGCUCAGGAUGAACGCUAGCUACAGGCUUAACACAUGCGAGUCGAGGGGCAGCAUGAAGUUUGCUUGCAAACUUUGAUGGCGACCGGCGCACGGGUGAGUAACGCGUAUCGAACCUGCCUCAUACCCGGGGACAGCCUUGCGAAAGUAAGAUUAAUACCCGAUGUUUCCGGCGCGCCGCAUGACGUGUCGGGCAAAGAUUUAUCAGUAUGAGAUGGCGAUGCGUCCCAUUAGCUUGUUGGCGGGGUAACGGCCCACCAAGGCAUCGGUGGGUAGGGGUUCUGAGAGGAAGGUCCCCCACAUUGGAACUGAGACACGGUCCAAACUCCUACGGGAGGCAGCAGUGAGGAAUAUUGGUCAAUGGACGAGAGUCUGAACCAGCCAAGUAGCGUGCAGGAAGACGGCCCUCCGGGUUGUAAACUGCUUUUAGUUGGGAAUAAAGUGCAUCACGUGUGAUGUUUUGUAUGUACCAUCGGAAAAAGGACCGGCUAAUUCCGUGCCAGCAGCCGCGGUAAUACGGAAGGCCCGGACGUUAUCCGGAUUUAUUGGGUUUAAAGGGAGCGUAGGCCGGGGAUUAAGCGUGUUGUGAAAUACUGAUGCUCAACAUCAGCACUGCAGCGCGAACUGGUUCUCUUGAGUGCGUAGGAAGUUGGCGGAAUUCGUGGUGUAGCGGUGAAAUGCUUAGAUAUCACGAAGAACUCCGAUUGCGAAGGCAGCUGACUGUAUCGUAACUGACGCUGAAGCUCGAAAGUGUGGGUAUCGAACAGGAUUAGAUACCCUGGUAGUCCACACGGUAAACGAUGGAUGCUCGCUGUUCGGCCUUUAUGGUUGAGCGGCUUAGGGAAACCGUUAAGCAUCCCACCUGGGGAGUACGCCGGCAACGGUGCAACUCAAAGGAAUUGACGGA
rnacentral:rRNA from 1 species